rnacentral:rRNA from 1 species
CCUACGGGCGGCUGCAGUGGGGAAUAUUGGACAAUGGGGGAAACCCUGAUCCAGCCAUGCCGCGUGUGUGAAGUAGGCCCUCGGGUUGUAAAGCACUUUCAGUGAGGAAGAACGCCUGGUGGUUAAUACCCAUCAGGAAAGACAUCACUCACAGAAGAAGCACCGGCUAACUCCGUGCCAGCAGCCGCGGUAAUACGGAGGGUGCGAGCGUUAAUCGGAAUUACUGGGCGUAAAGCGCGCGUAGGUGGCUUGAUAAGCCGGUUGUGAAAGCCCCGGGCUCAACCUGGGAACGGCAUCCGGAACUGUCAAGCUAGAGUGCAGGAGAGGAAGGUAGAAUUCCCGGUGUAGCGGUGAAAUGCGUAGAGAUCGGGAGGAAUACCAGUGGCGAAGGCGGCCUUCUGGACUGACACUGACACUGAGGUGCGAAAGCGUGGGUAGCAAACAGGAUUAGAUACCCUGGUAGUC